GUGCUGCAAGUGUAGUUGUCGUAGCAGGUGCUGCAGGUGUAGUUGUCGUAGUAGGUGCUGCUGGUGUAGUGGUUGUAGGAGCUGCAGUGGUUGUUGAAGUAGGUGUUGCAGUUGUAGUGGUCAUAGGAGCUACAGUUGUUGUUGUAGGAGCUUCAAUUGUAGUUGUAGCAGGUGCUGCAGUGGUUGUCGAAGUAGGUGCUGCAGUUGUAGGAGCUACGGUUGUCGUUGUUGGUGCUGCAGUUGUGGUUGUUGUAGGAGCUGCAUUUGUAGUUGUCGUCGUAGGUGCUGCAGUUGUAGUGGUUGUAAGAGCUACAGUUGUUGUAGUAGGAGCUGAAGUGAUUGUCGAAGUAGCUGCUGACGUUGUAGUGGUUGGGGAUAUAUUUGUUGUCGUAGAAGCUACAGUUGUUGUUGUAGGUGCUGCUGUUGUGGUUGUCGUAGGAGCUUCAGUUGUCGUUGUAGGUGCUUCUGUUGUAGUGGUCGUAUGAUCUAAAGGUGUUGUAAUAGGAUCUGCAGUUGUGGUUGUCAUAGGAGCUGUAUUUGUAGUAGUCAUAGGAGCUACAGUUGUUGUUGAAAUAGCUACAGUUGUUGAAGCUGCAGUGGUUGUCGAAAUAGGUGCUGCAGUUGUAGUGGUCGUAAGAGCUACAGUUGUAGUGGUAAUAGGAUAUAUAGUUGUUGUAGAAGCUACAGUUGUUGUUAUAGGUGCUGCUGUUGUAAUCGUCGUAGUAGGUGUUGUGGUUGUCCAUGGAGCUUCAGUUGUCAUUGUAGGUGCUUCUGUUGUGGUCAUAGGAUAUACAGUUGUUGUAAUAGGAGUUGCAGUUGUCGUCGUAGGAGCUGCAUUUGUAGUUGUCGUAGUAGGUGCUUCAGUUAUAGAAGAAGUAGGAGCUUCAGUUGUUGUAGUAGUAGCUGCAGUGGUUGUCGAAGUAGGUGCUGAAGUUGUAGUGGUCAUAGGAGCUACAGUUCGU
rnacentral:lncRNA from 1 species